CUCAGUUUUUCUUCUGCACAAUGAGGAACAGAAACCUUACCCAGUGUCAUGGUGGGGUCAUCAGUACAGAGUGGUGUGAGGGACACCAAGACUUUUCCUGCCCCGAAUACUUCCAUUCCUGGCAAAAGCACUGCCCUUGCCAGACCUCCAGGAGCGAGUGUGUAAAAAACUCCCAGCAGCUGAGAACCAGCUCCUCGGGACAGUUCCCACACUGCAGUGCCUCUGGUGAGGAGACAGCGCCACUGAGGGAGGUGGGCAGGGCAGCUCUCCUGGCUGCUAGUGGAGAAAAAGAAAAGGCCAGCCCAGACGUGAGGGAACACCAGGGAAGACCUUCUCAAUGGGAUGCAUUUUGGGGGUCUAGCCUCUGGCUGUCUGGUUGGGGCAGAGCCAAGUCCUA
rnacentral:lncRNA from 1 species